rnacentral:rRNA from 1 species
CAGUCGCCACGGUAAUACGAAGGGUGCAAGCGUUACUCGGAAUUACUGGGCGUAAAGCGUGUGUAGGUGGUUGUUUAAGUCUGUCGUGAAAGCCCUGGGCUCAACCUGGGAAUUGCGAUGGAUACUGGGCGACUAGAGUGCGGUAGAGGAUAGUGGAAUUUCCGGUGUAGCAGUGAAAUGCGUAGAGAUCGGAGGGAACAUCUGUGGCGAAGGCGACUAUCUGGGCCAACACUGACACUGAGACACGAAAGCGUGGGGAGCAAACAGGAUUAGAUACCCGCGUAGUCCCUGUCUCUUAUAC